UGGAACGAUACUAAGAAGAUUAGGAUGGC
rnacentral:sRNA from 1 species